rnacentral:rRNA from 1 species
GACGAACGCUGGCGGCAGGCUUAACACACGCAAGUCGAGGGGCAGCAGGGGUAGCAAUACUCGCUGGCGACCGGCAAACGGGUGCGGAACACGUACACAAUCUACCUUUAUCUGGGGUAUAGCCCGAAGAAAUUCGGAUUAAUCCCCCAUAAGAUAUUAGAGUGGCAUCACUUCGAUAUUAAAACUCCGGUGGAUAAAGAUGAGUGUGCGUCCCAUUAGCUAGUUGGUAGGGUAACGGCCUACCAAGGCAACGAUGGGUAGCUGGUGUGAGAGCACGACCAGCCACACGGGCACUGAGACACGGGCCCGACUCCUACGGGAGGCAGCAGUGAGGAAUAUUGGUCAAUGGACGCAAGUCUGAACCAGCCAUGCCGCGUGAAGGAUGAAGGCCUUCUGGGUUGUAAACUUCUUUUAUUGGGGAAGAAAAUUACGGUUUCUACUGUAACCGACGGUACCCAAGGAAUAAGCACCGGCUAACUCCGUGCCAGCAGCCGCAGUAACAC